GAAGGUAUAGCUCAGUGGUAGAGCUCAUGCUUAGCGUGCACGUGGUCCUGGGUUCGAUCCCCAGUACCUCCU
rfam:Camelus ferus unplaced genomic scaffold scaffold663, whole genome shotgun sequence.